AACUGCUGGUUACAAGUACGUUUACAGGCACACUAAUACUCCACUAUUAUUCCGAAUAUAUGACCAUAUUCUUAAUUAGAUACAGGUCAUGUAAACAGCAUAUUCCGUUUGGAUAUUC